AGAUGAGUGUUCUAGCAACACGCAGUAUUCUUAUUGUAAUCAUAUCACAUGUUUUUUUUUAAAUGUAAGUAAAAUUAACAUAUACUUGUGUUAUAUUUUAUAGUAUUCAAGCUGUCUUUGCAAAGACGAUCAGCACAGAACUCGCACAUUAUAUCAAAGAUAUCAACAGCUUUUUGUCUGACUUUGGUACCACUAGUGCAGCGUAUGCGUUACCAGCAUCUGAUCCAAUAACUCCAGGAGAAUCGUCUUAUAAUAUGAAAACUAUCAAAGAAGGUUUUAGUACCAUACCUAAAAGGCUAAUAAAUCAAUUCAAGAAUGCAAGCAGCAAGUAAGAAACACCUUAUCGCAAAUAUGUUUUAAGACAAAAAAAAAUAAAUAUUUGUUUUCAAAACUGUAAUAUCAUAUAUU
rnacentral:lncRNA from 1 species